GAGUGAGCCGGGUGAGUGGGCUCCCUAAGUAGCGGAAGGGGGAGAUGGAAAUGGAAGGGGCGAGCGCGCUAGGCCUCGUCCUGGCUGGGCUCCCGCUGGAGUGUGCGUUGGGGGCGGACCAGGAGCGGUGGUCUCCAGGGAGGUCGAGGCUGGGGCUCCCACCCGGAUUUGGAGCAGGGUCGCCGCGGCCCAGCUGACCCGCCGGCGUUUGUACGUUAUGUGCCCACUCAGGGAGCCAUGGACAACUGUUUGGCGGCCGCAGCGCUGAAUGGGGUGGACCGACGUUCCCUGCAGCGUUCAGCAAGGCUGGCUCUAGAAGUGCUGGAGAGGGCCAAGAGGAGGGCGGUGGACUGGCAUGCCCUGGAGCGUCCCAAAGGCUGCAUGGGGGUCCUUGCCCGGGAGGCGCCCCACCUAGAGAAACAGCCGGCAGCCGGCCCGCCCCGCGUUCUCCCAGGAGAGAGAGAAGAGAGACCCCCAACCCUUAGUGCUUCCUUCAGAACAAUGGCUGAAUUCAUGGACUAUACUUCAAGUCAGUGUGGGAAAUAUUAUUCAUCUGUGCCAGAGGAAGGAGGGGCAAUCCAUGUCUAUCGUUAUCACAGAGGCAAGUCAAAGCUGCACAUAUGCUCGGACAUAGGGAAUGGUCAGAGAAAAGACAGAAAAAAGACAUCCCUUGGUCCUGGAGGCAUUUAUCAAGUAUCAGAGCAUGCUCCAGAGGCAUCCCAGCCUGCUGAGAACAUCUCUAAGGACCUCUACAUAGAAGUAUAUCCAGGGACCUAUUCUGUCACUGUGGGCUCAAAUGACUUAACCAAGAAGACUCAUGUGGUAGCAGUUGAUUCUGGACAAAGUGUGGACCUGGUCUUCCCUGUGUGAUGUUGACCAUCACUGCCAUCACAUCACCUUUUUUUAAGUAACUGAGUUUCGCUCAUCACCCAGGCUAGAGUGCAAUGGCGUGAUCUUGGUUCACUGCAACCUCUGCCUCCUGGGUUCAAGUGAUUCUCCUGUCUCAGGUUCCCGAGCAGCUGGGACUACAGGAGCCCACCACCUUGCUCAGCUAAUUUUUGUAUAUUUAGUACAGACGCGGUGUCACCACGUUGGCCAGGCUGGUCUCGAACUUCUGAGCUCAGGACCCAUGUGUUGGCAGCAUCUCCAGCUCUUCCCAGCCAGCCAGGCCCCUGCCAUGCUGGGUCGGCAAUGUGGAGACACGGGCAAGAAGAGGCGUGCCUGGAAAAAAGCAAAUGGAAUUAGUGGAUAGAGAGCAACAAGCCCUAAACACAUCAAGAAACAUGUUUCACAGGUACCUCUAAGGUGCACCACAGCACAUGAGGCAUGUGGAACAGAAAUCCAUAUGGAAAGUGGCAAUCUGUGACUUCCGGAAGGAUAAGGUAAACCUCCGGGAGGGGCAGAAGGAGAGGACAGUGAAGGGAACCAUCCCUGGUGGAUUGGGAGUUGGUUCAAGGCAACCAAAAGGUAAUUCGCCUUGAUACAUUCAAGUUAAUUGAUGCUUGUUCCUACACUAGACUACAGACUGGAAAAGUGUGGCUCAAGCCUGUAAUCCCAGCACUUUGGGAGGCCGAUGCGGAUGGAUCACUUGAGCUCAGGAAUUCAAGACCAGCCUGGGCAACAUGGUGAAACCCCAUCUCUACCAAAAAUACAAAAAAUUAGCUGGGUGUGGUGGUGUGAGCCUGUGGUCCCAGCUACUUGGGAGGCUGAGGUAGGAGGAUUGCUUGAACCUGGGAGGUAGAGGUUGCAGUGGGCUGAAAUGACACUACUGCACUCCAGCCUGGGUGACAAGGUGAGACCCCCAUCAAAAAAAAGAAAAGAAGAGUGCCAGGGGCCGGGAGCGGUGGCUCACGCCUGUAAUCCCAGCACUUUGGGAGGCCGAGAUGGGCGGAUCACGGGGUCAAGAGAUCGAGACUGUCUGGACAACAUGGUGAAAGCCCACCUCUACUAAAAAUACAAAAAUUAGGUGGGCGUGGUGGUGGGUGCCUGUAGUCUCAGCUACUCAGGAGGCUGAGGCAGGAGAAUCGCUUGGAGGCAGGAGAAUCGCUUGAACCCAGGAGGCGCAGGUUGCAGUGAGCCAAGAUUGUGCCACUGUACUCCAGCCUGGUGACAGAGCGAGACUCCGUCUCAAAAAAAAAAAAAAAGAAAAAAAAAAAAAGGGCCAAGAGGGUAAAUCCUAAGGCGGCGUGUGGGAUUCCAGGAUGAGGCGUGGAAGCUUGCAUAGUAAUACCAAGGGUGUGAAACUGUAAUGCCACUUGAUGCUGUGGGGUCAGAGGGAUGAGAAAGUGUUUGGGCAGGGACAACCCAGAGGAGCUAAGGGGCUGUGGGACAGAAAAAUGAGAUGCUAGUUACAGAAAAUGUGGUCAGGGCCAGUUGGCCUAGGGGAGUUGUUGAGUCAGGGUUUGGGUUUUUGAAGAACCCAUUUUACUUUAUGGGCAAGGCUGAAUGCAAAGGGAGCCUGUCUGCCUCCUGCUGCCAUCAACAUGCCGUCACUGCACCCAGGCUGUUUGUGCUGAGGAGCUCCUGCAGGCCCAUGCUGAGCUGCCCUCAGCCCCCCUCAGCCUCCUUCCUGUGCUUGUUGGCAUCUAAAGUCCCAUGCUUAACUCUAGCCUUGAACAGGAUGGUCCACCGGGUGGAUCACGAAAGGGAGCCAUUAAGGAUCAUUCAAGCUGGCAUGUCCCUAAUGUGGGCAGAAUGGAUCAGGCAGCAGGAAUGCAAGUCCCUGGAGAUGACACGCUCCACAUGUGCAUAUAGGGCUGUGGUGCCUUUGGCCUCUUGUAUCCACGCUUUAGAAAGCGGACUGAGGAUCCUAUUCAGGAAAAUCCUGGACAAAGGAGGGGUACCGAGGGAACCUGAAGAGGGACCUGGAGACCCCACAUUAGCUGAUUUCUCAUAUGGUGGCCGAGCAAGUCUCAUUGUUUUUUUUGGUUUUGUUUUGUUUUUGAGACGGAGUCCCGCUCUGUUCCCUAGGCUCGAGCGCAGUGGCGCUGUCUCGGCUCACUGCAACCUCCGCCUCCCGAGUUAAUUUUCCUGCCUCAGCCUCCUGAGUAGAUGGGAAUACAGGCAUGCGCCACCACGCCCAGCUAAUUAUUUUUUUUUCUUUGAGACAGAGUCUCACUCUGUCGCCCAGGCUGGAGUGCAAUGGCGCGAUCUCGGCUCACUGCAACCUUUCCACCUUCCGAGUUCAAGCAAUUCUCUGCCUCAUCCUCCUGAGUAGCUGGGAUUACAGGCACCCACCACCAUGCCUGGCUAAUUUUUAUAUUUUUAGUAGAGACGGGGUUUCACCAUCUUGGCCAGGCUGGUCUCGAACUCCUGACCUCGGGUGAUCCACCCGCCUUGGCCUCCCAAAGUGCUGGGAUUACAGGCAUGAGCCACCAUGCCCAGCCAAUUUUUUUUGUAUUUUUAGUAGAUGGGGUUUUGCCAUGUUUGGUCAGACUGGUCUCGAACUCCUGACCUCAAGUGAUCCGCUUGCCUCGGCCUUCCAAAGUGCUGGGAUUGUAUACAGGCAUGAGCCACUGCGCCCAGCCAAGUCUCAGCGCUGAUGGUAAAAUGAGCUAUAAACUUGGUAACUGGCUAUCCCUAACUGCCUUCUCUCACUCAUGCCAACUGCGGCAUCUGCAACUCUGCUAAAGCCAGAUCAACCCUGGAGGACUCUGGGAGCACAAUGCAGGCUGGAGUGACAGACCCCACACAGAUACGCCAAUCAUAGGCCAAACAAUGAAGACCCCUUUCUGCCUUCUCAGGAAGCAAGUCUGUCCACCAAGGUCUACCACUAACAGCCAAGAAUAAAGGAAAAAGAAAAGGGCACCCACUUCCCCCAGAGGGGCAGAGACAGGUACCUUGCAAGGGGCUUGUGCCCGGUG